CCGGCCGCCGCACGGAGCUCGCAGAGUUCGGAUCCGCAAGGACCGGGCCAGCGGGACGUCCGCGUGGCAGGGUGCACUUUCUCCGCGGUCGAGUGCUACGACCGGUUUCGCGGCGGUCAGAAGCCCGGCGGAAAGGUAGCGCCGCCCCUCGGGGUGUCGUGUUAUAGGCCGCCGCGGUGGACUCGCCGCGAGACCGAGGACGCUUGCCGCGCCGAGCGGUCCCGGGCCGUCUGGGGAGGUUCGACCUCGGCUGCACUGCUCCGCAGAGCACCGUAACCGCCGCCCUAGCACGGGUCCGGAGACCGCCGGCGCCUCGGGUCAGUAGCG
rnacentral:rRNA from 1 species